CCCAUUGGAGAUGAAGAAUUGGUCUCCUACAUCCUGGCCGGUCUUGACAUCGAGUUCAAUCCCCUGGUGUCGGCCAUUGUUGCAUGGGUCAAGCCAAUCACUGUGGGGGAACUAUUCUCUCCGCUUCUUAGCUUUGAGU
rnacentral:snoRNA from 1 species